rnacentral:tRNA from 1 species
UCCCUGGUGGCUCAGACAGUAAAGAGAGCCCACCUGCCAUGCGGGAGACCCGGGUUCGAUCCCUGGGUUGGGGAA